CUAUGGGUUCUAGGGUUUCAACUCUAGGUUUUGUGAGAAGAAAAUACAAGAGUGAGUCUUGUCCAAUCUUUGACACUACCACCUCCUUGUAAAGCUUUAUCUUUUGAUCUAAAAAAAUUUAGGAGAUCCAAAGAAAAUAAUAUGAAUCAGCCAUCCAGAGCCUUCAACGUGAGCUAGCACUCCCAGAAAGGAAGAUCCAAUCAGGGCUUCGAGUGGAUGAUCUGUAGAUGUCGGAUGACCUGUGCAGCUGCUCAAUAUCA
rnacentral:lncRNA from 1 species